rnacentral:rRNA from 1 species
CGGAGGGGCUAGCGUUAUUCGGAAUUACUGGGCGUAAAGCGCACGUAGGCGGAUAGGAAAGUCAGAGGUGAAAUCCCAGGGCUCAACCUUGGAACUGCCUUUGAAACUCCCAGUCUUGAGGUCGAGAGAGGUGAGUGGAAUUCCGAGGUGUAGAGGUGAAAUUCGUAGAUAUUCGGAGGAACACCAGUGGCGAAGGCGGCUCACUGGCUCGAUACUCGACGCUGAGGUGCGAAAGCGUGGGGAGCAAACAGGAUUAGGAUACCCUGGUAGUCCACGCCGUAAACCGAUGAAUGCCCAGUCGUCGGGCAGCAUGCUAGUUCGGUGACACACCUAACGGAUUAAGCAUUCCGCCUGGGGAGUACGGCCGCAAGGUUA